UUUGUCCUCAGAGCUGGUGGAG
rnacentral:misc_RNA from 1 species